rnacentral:lncRNA from 1 species
AUGGGAGGUCCCCGGGUGCUUCUGAGGCCAGAAACCUCCUGUGCUAGGCUUCCCAGGGGGAGAGAACCAGCCGUCGUACUGUGCAAGUCAUUUUGGUUUCAGCUUACUUUCGAGUCUGGCCCCCGACACAGAACACUCAGGGUUCCUGGCUCAGUGACAGCACCCAGAUGGGAGGUACUGGGAGGGGAGGCUCAGCUCCAGGGCACAGGGGGCAAUGGCGGGCACAGCUGGAACUCGGAAUGCGAAUACAGGGUCCAGCCUUACCCACGAGACGGCCUGCUGGCCCCCGUGACUCCAGGGCUCGGUUCCCAUGCCUCGCCAGUGAACCGGAACAGAAGUUACGAAUGCUCUGUGCCCUCCUCACCCCCCACACACGCCUCCUUGUGUCUGUGGGGGAACAAAAGGGGAACUGCAUCUUGUUCUAUUUAUAAGACCCCGCAGAGCCACAAAAGCCGACAACCCGGGUGCUCAGGAGGUCUGAGCAGGUGCCCAGUUGGAUUUGCAAGGCCACUUCGCCUCCCCUCCAUGCACCCCGCUUGUCACCGUUCCUCUUUGUGGACGACUUCGAAAACAAACCCGGGGAACAGGAAGCAGGAGGGGAGCGGCAGGGCCGCGCAGGCAGAGGGGGGUCACCCAGGGCCACGUGUGCUCUCUCCACGGGCAUGGCGCAGUCCACGGCUCCGGCACAAUCAAAGAGAAAGAAAAGGCCGGCUUGCUGUUAUUUUUAAUUCCUUCCUCCACGCCUUCCAAAAUUCUUGGGCAGAGGGAUCCGCCCACUACAGUUUCACUCCCCUCCCAGCCAACAGCAACUCAGAGGCGUCUGCCAAAGCGGGCCAAGGGGGCAGGAACAGUCAUCCCCAGAAAAAGUCUCUGCUCGUGGCCACUAAGCAUCACCCAAGCUGCACCGGGCCCAGGGCCAUCACCACCUGGGUUUCAGAGCCCAGUGGGGGUGCAGACAUCCUCACGCCCCACCCACCCCCACUCAACUGCCCUUGCCCGCCCAGUAAGUGUCACGUUGCCUACCUCCUACACCGCGCUCCACGAAGCUCCACAGCUCACCUGCCAUGUGAGGUCGCCCGGAAGUCUCUUCCAGGCUUAAACCAUCCCAGCAGCGCCCGUGAUAUGAUCUGA